rnacentral:rRNA from 1 species
AUUGAACGCUGGCGGUAUGCCUUACACAUGCAAGUCGAACGGUAGAGGGGCAACCCUUGAGAGUGGCGAACGGGUGAGUAAUACAUCGGAACGUGCCUAGUCGUGGGGGGUAACGUAGCGAAAGCUACGCUAAUACCGCAUACGACCCGAGGGUGAAAGCGGGGGACUCGCAAGGGCCUCGCGCGAUUGGAGCGGCCGAUGGCAGAUUAGGUAGUUGGUGGGGUAAAGGCCCACCGAGCCUGCGAUCUGUAGCCGGUCUGAGAGGACGACUAGCCACACUGGGACUGAGACACGGCCCAGACUGCUACGGGAGGCAGCAGUGGGGAAUCUUGCGCUAAUGCGGGCAACCGUGACGCAGCGACGCCGCGUGAGGGAAGAAGGCCUUCGGGUUGUAAACCUCUUUCAGGAGGGACGAAGCCACUCGGGUGAAUAGCCCAGAGGGUGACGGUACCUCCAGAAGAAGCCCCGGCUAACUACGUGCCAGCCGCCGCCGUAACAC